GACGAACGCUGGCGGCGUGCUUAACACAUGCAAGUCGAACGGAAAGGCCCUGCUUUUGUGGGGUGCUCGAGUGGCGAACGGGUGAGUAACACGUGAGUAACCUGCCCUUGACUUUGGGAUAACUUCAGGAAACUGGGGCUAAUACCGGAUAGGAGCUCCUGCUGCAUGGUGGGGGUUGGAAAGUUUCGGCGGUUGGGGAUGGACUCGCGGCUUAUCAGCUUGUUGGUGGGGUAGUGGCUUACCAAGGCUUUGACGGGUAGCCGGCCUGAGAGGGGGACCGGCCACAUUGGGACUGAGAUACGGCCCAGACUACUACGGGAGGCAGCAGUGGGGAAUAUUGCACAAUGGGAGGAAGCCUGAUGCAGCAACGCCGCGUGCGGGAUGACGGCCUUCGGGUUGUAAACCGCUUUCGCCUGUGACGAAGCGUGAGUGACGGUAAUGGGUAAAGAAGCACCGGCUAACUACGUG
rnacentral:rRNA from 1 species